rnacentral:rRNA from 1 species
GUUUAUGGCCAUGCGACCUUGAACAAGCUGGAUCCUGUCUGAUCUUGGAAGCUAAGCAGGGUCGAGCCUGGUUAAUAUUUGGAUGGGAGACCACCUAGGAAGAACAGGUGCUGUAGAUG